rnacentral:lncRNA from 1 species
AAGAGCUCGAUCGGCGCAAUCUCUUCCCCGCGACUCAUCAAUCAAAAUCGUCAUCCGGCCAUCCGGGUGCCGUACUUCUGUUCCGCCGCCGGCGCCCAUGCGUGCUGGGAGCUAGUUCCGGCGCCGCCGCCCGCGUGCAGGAGGCCACCACCGACCACCGCCGCCCGCAGAGCAGCGCAGGAGGCCGCCACCGACCACAGCCGUCCACCGCCGCAGGCAGAGCAGCGCAGGAUCCCGUCGUCGACCAUCGCCGCAGGCAUAGCAGCGCAGGAGUCCGCCGCUGACGACCGCCGCAAGCAAAGCAGCCCCGACGCCUUCCUUCAUUCCGUCGCCAUGCCCUCGCCUGAGAAGUUGCAUAUUAUCAAGAACGUCGUCAUCGUUGUUGAAAUGGAAAAUACAAACAUCACCCUCAUUGAAUACUUCGACAUCAAUCAGUUGAUUCCAUCCGGUGGUGCCUCGUCCUGUUCCAAGCACUGCACGCCGGGGGAGCGCGCCGUCGCCGUCCCCCAGCUCUACCGCCUGCAGCCGCGCAACGGGCUGCAGCGCCGUGUCAGCAGGGGGCGGCUCGGAGCGCGCCGUUCCACCGCUGCCCACCGCCGACCAUCGCCGCCCGCCGCCGCCGACCACCGCUGCCUGCCGCCGCCGACCACCGCCGCCCAACGCCUAUCGCCUCGAAGGGGACCACGAGCGGAUGGAGGGAUGUAUGGAUCUGAGCGCCAUCCCUCCAUCCCCUGCGCUAGUUCAGCCGCCCACGGCAUGGCUACUCCCUAUUUCUUCAAGGUGAGAGACAUCCUGUGCGCAAUUACCUUCUAA